AUUGAACGCUGGCGGCAGGCCUAACACAUGCAAGUCGAGCGAAGCGGGGACGGGUGAGUAACACGUGGAUAACCUCCUAUAAGACUGGGAUAACUUCGGGAAACCGGAGCUAAACCGGCUCCUUAUCGAUGGAUCCGAGCUGCAUUAGCUAGUUGGUACGGUAACGGCUUACAAAGGCAACGAUGCAUAGCCGACCUGAGAGGGUGAUCGGCCACACUGGAACUGAGACACGGUCCAGACUCCUACGGGAGGCAGCAGUAGGGAAUCUUCCGCAAUGGGCGAAAGCCUGACGGAGCAACGCCGCGUGAGUGAUGAAGGUCUUCGGAUCGUAAAACUCUUUUAUUAGGGAAGCGGUACCUAAUCAGAAAGCCACGGCUAACUACGUGCCAGCAGCCGCGGUAAUAC
rnacentral:rRNA from 1 species